CAUUUUCUUUGUACAUCUACAGUUGGUGGCCUAAAGGAACUCAAAGAAAACAGAACACAAGAAGGAAGCUAAGCGGGGAGAGCCAUGGAAGGGGACUAGGAGAACACAAGAAGGAAGGAACCAGAAGCAUUUGAUAUCCUGUGUCUGGCGUUACAACAGUUUGGAGCGGCCUGAUGUGAAUGCUAAGAACUGAACUCCAAUCCUCAGCAAGAGCAGUAUGCCCUCUUCACAGCUGAGUCAUCUCUCCAGUCCCUUGAUCCACAUUUCUAUUAGCGUCUCCCAACACGAUCACUCAUUAAACUCCAGUUAUAGCACU